ACAUACAAAGGAUUAAAGACAUAAUAAUUAAUUAAAUUAUGUUAGCAUUAUAUAUAAAGGCACAAAUUCUCACUUCUCCCUCACUUGGAAUAUAUAUUAUUAAUAAUAUAAUUAAUAAUAACUCUUAUUUAUAUACAAAGAGAUAAAAAAGACAUAAUAAUUAAUUUAAUAUUAAUAAUAAUAUUUAUUGAUUUCCAUAUAUACAUACAUCAUACAUAAAAAGAUAGGCACAACUUAAUUAAAUACAUGCAUAUAAUAUUUACAUACAAAGGAUUAAAGACAUAAUAAUUAAUUAAAUUAUGUUAGCAUUAUAUAUAAAGGCACAAAUUCUCACUUCUCCCUCACUUGGAAUAUAUAUUAUUAAUAAUAUAAUUAAUAAUAACUCUUAUUUAUAUACAAACAGAUAAAAAAGACAUAAUAAUUAAUUUAAUAUUAAUAAUAAUAUUUAUUGAUUUCCAUAUAUACAUACAUCAUACAUAAAAAGAUAGGCACAACUUAAUUAAAUACAUGCAUAUAAUAUUUACAUACAAAGGAUUAAAGACAUAAUAAUUAAUUAAAUUAUGUUAGCAUUAUAUAUAAAGGCACAAAUUCUCACUUCUCCCUCACUUGGAAUAUAUAUUAUUAAUAAUAUAAUUAAUAAUAAUAUAAUUAAUAAUAACUCUUAUUUAUAUACAAAGAGAUAAAAAAGACAUAAUAAUUAAUUUAAUAUUAAUAAUAAUAUUUAUUCAUUUCUAUAUAUACAUACAUCAUACAUAAAAAGAUAGGCACAACUUAAUUAAAUAUAUGCAUAUAAUAUUUAUAUACAAAGGAUUAAAGACAUAAUAAUUAAUUAAAUUAUGUUAGCAUUAUAUAUAAAGGCACAAAUUCUCACUUCUCCCUCACUUGGAAUAUAUAUUAUUAAUAAUAUAAUUAUUAAUAAUAUAAUUAAUAAUAACUCUUAUUUAUAUAUAAAGAGAUAAAAAAGACAUAAUAAUUAAUUUAAUAUUAAUAAUAAUAUUUAUUCAUUUCUAUAUAUACAUACAUUAUACAUAUAUGAAUAAUUGAUUUCUAUAUAUAAAAAAAUUGUUAAAGAAAAAAAAAUUCCAGCCCAACAAGCCCAGCAGGCCGUCACUCCCUCUCCCUUCUCUCCCUCUCUCUGGCAGGUGGGCCCCACCUGUCGGGGUCAUCCCCUACCUCCAGCCGCCGCCGCCACCGCACCGCCCACCACCGCACACCCCGCACCAGCCCCAUCCUCUUCCACCAUCGCCACCGCGGCCAUCCCUUCCCCUUCCACCACCACCACCGCGGCCGCCCCUCUUCCCCGUCCGGGCAGCGCCACCAUCGCGCCCCCACCACCACCACCGCCGCCACGUCGAGGAUGCGCAGGGAGAGAGAGAGAGGGAACACGCGAGCAGGAGAGGCUCUCACCGCGGGGCGGCGUCGGCGUCGAGGGCGGAGGAGACCGUCACCGCGCGACGGCGUCGAGGUCGGCAACAACGGCGGCGAUGGCGGUGGAAAAUUUCGGCAGCGUGUCGGCUUAGUUUGAACGAACAGGGCGCC
rnacentral:lncRNA from 1 species